AAUAUACUCCCUCCGUCCUAAAAUUCUUGUCUUAGAUUUGUCUAAAUACGGAUGUAUCAAGUCACGUUUUAGUAUUAGAUACAUCCGUAUCUAGACAAAUCUGAGACAAGAAUUUUGGGACGGAGGGAGUAUUAA
rnacentral:pre_miRNA from 1 species